rnacentral:rRNA from 1 species
AACGUAGGACACAAGCGUUAUCCGGAGUUACUGGGCGUAAAGGGCGUGCAGGCGGUUUCUUAAGUCAGGCGUGAAACCACCCGGCUAAACCGGGUGUAGUCGUCUGAGACUGGGAGACUAGAGUGUGGUAGAGGCGUGUAGAAUUCCGGGUGUAGUGGUGAAAUGCGUAGAUAUCCGGAGGAAUACCAGUGGCGAAGGCGGCACGCUGGGCCAUAACUGACGCUAAGACGCGAAAGCAUGGGUAGCGAACGGG